rnacentral:rRNA from 1 species
ACGGGUGAGUAAUGCCUAGGAAUCUGCCUGGUAGUGGGGGACAACGUUUCGAAAGGAACGCUAAUACCGCAUACGUCCUACGGGAGAAAGCAGGGGACCUUCGGGCCUUGCGCUAUCAGAUGAGCCUAGGUCGGAUUAGCUAGUUGGUGGGGUAAUGGCUCACCAAGGCGACGAUCCGUAACUGGUCUGAGAGGAUGAUCAGUCACACUGGAACUGAGACACGGUCCAGACUCCUACGGGAGGCAGCAGUGGGGAAUAUUGGACAAUGGGCGAAAGCCUGAUCCAGCCAUGCCGCGUGUGUGAAGAAGGUCUUCGGAUUGUAAAGCACUUUAAGUUGGGAGGAAGGGCAGUAAGUUAAUACCUUGCUGUUUUGACGUUACCGACAGAAUAAGCACCGGCUAACUCUGUGCCAGCAGCCGCGGUAAUACAGAGGGUGCAAGCGUUAAUCGGAAUUACUGGGCGUAAAGCGCGCGUAGGUGGUUUGUUAAGUUGGAUGUGAAAGCCCCGGGCUCAACCUGGGAACUGCAUCCAAAACUGGCAAGCUAGAGUACGGUAGAGGGUGGUGGAAUUUCCUGU